GUUCUUGUUACAUUACUGAAUGCAUCACAGACCAAGGAUUCAGCUCCCUUUUCCUCCCAUGAUCCAGCCUGUUGUCUCAAAGCAAGAAUUCUGAGCGUUUGGAAAUAAGAGAUACAGUAAUAUGCAGGCCAGAGAUGAAAUGCGCAGGGAACUACAUCGAGGUCUCUUGGUGUGGCUGAGUACAAUUAGU
rnacentral:lncRNA from 1 species